rnacentral:rRNA from 1 species
AACGAACGCUGGCGGCAGGCCUAACACAUGCAAGUCGAGCGCCCUUUCGGGGGUGCGGCGGACGGGUGCGUACCGCGUGGGAAUAUGCCCCUCUCUACGGACUAGCCUCGGGAAACUGAGAGUCAUACCGUAUACGCCCUAUGGGGGAAAGAUUUAUCGGGGAAGGAUUAGCCCGCGUUGGAUUAGGUCGUUGGUGGGGUCAUGGCCUACCAAGCCGACGUUCCAUACCUGGGUAGUGAGGAUGAGCCGCCACACUGGGACUGGGACGCGGUCCAGACUCUUACGGGAAGCAGGAAUGGCUGAUCUUAGAAAGUGGGGGCAACCCAGAUCUAGCCAGGCCGGGUGAGUGAUGAAGGCCGGAGGGAUGGAAAGCUAUUUCAGCUGUGAAGAUAAUGACGGUACCAACAGAAGAAGCCCCGGCUAACUCCGUG